AAUCUCUGGAAUCCUGCCAAUAUACUUAUUGGAUCGCUUCAACAUCUUCACUUGGUAGCCUCCUUUUCAUUAGUAUCAUUGCACAUGUGCUGGUCUGCCGGAAUUAUCAAAAACGACGCAUGAGCAAAACGUCAGUGAACACCAUCGAAAUGAAAAGGAAAACACGACAGUCGAUAAAGCAGCAAAACAAACCGCAACGAUACAUUGAUAUGGAUGAACCAGGUCCGAGUGGUCUGGAAAAGGAGGGGAGACAACUCAUGGUGAUCUGUAUGAAGAAGUAGAAGCUCCGAAUACUAUUGACGACAACCAGCAGUCAGAGUACUAUUUAGAUAUGAGUGGGUCAAAUUUUCCACGGGAUGAUGAAAUAUAUCAAAACUCAGAUUUAGUUAAUGGAGAUCAAGGAAGUGAAUCGCGUCCUUGUACGGAUCAUGCUGAUGAAGAUGGUGACGGUGACGUUUAUGAGGAAAUGCGAGAUUACAUCAACACUUCCCCGUUUAGUAAACCUCGUUGAACUAUCAAAACAAUUCAAGCUGAUACAAACUACUAUGUAUGGGAGAGCCCUAACAACAGUUUAACCAUCGCCCAUUAAGCCCUUUUUCCAAGUCUGUGUAAUUCAAUAUGUAUCUUACUACUGUAUUAGAAAUAAGGAAUGUAAAACUGUCUACCAUGUAACUAUUAUACAUCAGGUGAGCACACACGUGUGAACUGGUAUGAAUCAGAUGUAUACAUAUGUUAAACUUUAUAAACCAGAUACGUUGGAACGUUUAACUGUUAUACACCCUAAAUAUACAAUUCUAUCAUAUCAACAUAAUGUUAACGUGGUUAUUUACGCGGGGUUUACCCUGUCAAAUGAUUAUGAAUAGUUCA